rnacentral:rRNA from 1 species
CCUACGGGUGGCAGCAGUGGGGAAUAUUGGACAAUGGGCGAAAGCCUGAUCCAGCCAUGCCGCGUGUGUGAAGAAGGCCUUCGGGUUGUAAAGCACUUUCAGUGGGGAAGAAAGCCUUGGGGCUAAUACCCUCGAGGAAGGACAUCACCCACAGAAGAAGCACCGGCUAACUCCGUGCCAGCAGCCGCGGUAAUACGGAGGGUGCGAGCGUUAAUCGGAAUUACUGGGCGUAAAGCGCGCGUAGGCGGUCUGAUAAGCCGGUUGUGAAAGCCCCGGGCUCAACCUGGGAACGGCAUCCGGAACGGUCAGGCUAGAGUGCGGGAGAGGAAGGUAGAAUUCCCGGUGUAGCGGUGAAAUGCGUAGAGAUCGGGAGGAAUACCAGUGGCGAAGGCGGCCUUCUGGACUGGCACUGACGCUGAGGUGCGAAAGCGUGGGUAGCAAACAGGAUUAGAUACCCCGGUAGUC